rnacentral:rRNA from 1 species
GACGAACGCUGGCGGCGUGCUUAACACAUGCAAGUCGAACGGUGAAGCGCCUUCCUUUUUGGUGGGUGUGGAUGAGUGGCGAACGGGUGAGUAACACGUGAGUAACCUGCCCCCUUCUUCUGGAUAACCGCAUGAAAGUGUGGCUAAUACGGGAUAUUCUGGGUCUGUCGCAUGAUGGGUCUGGGAAAGAUAUUGUUUCGGUGGGGGAUGGGCUCGCGGCCUAUCAGCCUGUUGGUGGGGUGAUGGCCUACCAAGGCGGUGACGGGUAGCCGGCCUGAGAGGGUGGACGGUCACACUGGGACUGAGACACGGCCCAGACUCCUACGGGAGGCAGCAGUGGGGAAUAUUGCAGAAUGGGCGCAAGCCUGAUGCAGCGACGCCGCGUGAGGGAUGGAGGCCUGCGGGUUGUGAACCUCUUUCGCCAGUGAAGCAGGCCUGCCUCGUUUGUGGGUGGGUUGACGGUAGCUGGAUAAGAAGCGCCGGCUAACUACGUG